CAAGCAAAGAAGACACGUGAUUUUUCUGGUGGCUGGAGAAUGAGAAUUGCACUAGCUCGAGCUCUAUUUAUGAACCCAACCAUUCUUCUACUUGAUGAACUAACCAAUCACCUUGAUUGACUUGAGGCACAUUUUCUGCAAGAUGUCUGUGAGGUUUGCCUAGAGAAAUUGCCAAACUAUGAAGAGAAGAUCAAAAGCUUCUUUGAAGAGCAUCUUCACACCAACAAGGAGAUCCACUAUUGUGUUGCUGGAAGUGGGUCUUAGAGAGAAAGUGGCAACAGCACUUAGUGCUCCAUCUGCUACAAUACCCCAGCCUGCCCAAGCACUAAAGAAAUCCAAGAAGUAACAAUUAGCAUUUUCAAUAAACUAGAAAGAUGGUGAAUCUUUGAUGGUUCUAAAUUCUAGAAGUAUACACUCUCAUAUAUUAAUUGAAUUUGAUAAUGUAAGUUCAAUUUUCCCCUUCAUAUCUUGGUUACCAUUUUUCAACGUUUCUUCUAAUUCUCGCUUCUUUGUUGAAAGUUCUGUAUUUUUUUCUUUGCUGAUCCCCACUCUCACUCACUCUCAGCUCGGCAUCUUCAUUGUCUUUUUCAGUCUUCUGGUCUCAUUCUGCUUUCCCUCACUCCAGUUCAGCCGUUCUAGUCUUGUUCUUCUCUUGGUCGCCCUCACAGUGCGCUACCCGUCACUGGUUGUUGUCAAUUCUGAACAUUCAUUAGGACUUCCAUCUCUGCUAUCAGAUCCUAGUGCUAAGACACCAGAAGUGGCAUUGGUAUACAUAUUUGGUGAAGCUAGAAGAACCACACCAUCAAUUCUCUAUUUACCACAAUUUGAUAUUUGGUGGGAAACUGCUCAUGAACAACUCAGAGCUGAAGUUGUGCUAGCUGAAGUUGAAGAUGUACCACAUUUAGUUUUUUCACAUCGUUCAGUGUAUCUUUGAUCUAAUUCACAACAAAACACUGAUUUUUUAUAUGGAAUGUUCAUAGAGUUUAAGUGCUAUAAGUGUUUUUUUUUCUUUUCUUAUUUUAUUUACACCACGAAGCAAACUUGUACAAUGAUUAUUGAUUAAUAUAAAAGGUUAUAAAAA